rnacentral:rRNA from 1 species
UACGAAGGGGGCUAGCGUUGCUCGGAAUUACUGGGCGUAAAGCGCACGUAGGCGGAUUGUUAAGUCGAGGGUGAAAUCCUGGAGCUCAACUCCAGAACUGCCUUCGAUACUGGCGAUCUCGAGUUCGGGAGAGGUGAGUGGAACUGCGAGUGUAGAGGUGAAAUUCGUAGAUAUUCGCAAGAACACCAGUGGCGAAGGCGGCUCACUGGCCCGAUACUGACGCUGAGGUGCGAAAGCGUGGGGAGCAAACAGG